UGGUUGGCCCGCCCCGCGCUCUGACCAAUCAAGAUAAAGGAGCGUGUGUCGCAAGGCAGCGCGUGCUCGCCCGCCGAGCGACCGGAAACGUGGGCUGCUCCUUAACCAUUGAGAGGAUGCAUUGUGCUCCGGAGCUGUAUCUCUUCGUAUCGAGACUGACUGAAAUACAGUAUUGCUAUAGUAAAAGAAAACUGAAGUGAAAUGCAACUGGAGGGAGAGUUUUGAGAAGAUCUGCAGCUCCGGUUGAGAUUCUGGAUGUAGGUUUUCAGACUUUUCAUCACCAUACUAGGUAACAUCAGUGAGCCUCUGGAUGAAGCACUGGUGAUAUGGCCUGCUUUUUAUGUUUCCUUGGAGUGGUGUUGCCAUUUCCUGUUGUCAUUUUCUGUUGUUUUUCUCAGAGGGUGGUAAAUGGGAUCCCACAUAGACUUGGAUCUCAUUUACCACCCCCUGAGAAGAACAGGAAAACUUCUGAAAACGAACCUUACAGCUCAGCGAGCAAAACCUACAUCCAGCAACUGCAGGGAUUAGAAUGAUCAAUGAAUAUAGGACAGUCAAAGAAACAAAUAUCUAAGUACUUGUAUCAGCCAUUAUAAAGAGGAUAUCUGAGGUGAAUCUUGAAUUCAUUUAAAAAGUAAAAAGCAUCCCUUCAUAGUUAUAUGGAAAUUCAUUGGCAACUUAUUUACUUAUUCCUGAUUCUAAGAUCAUUUUUCAGAUUAUUAUGGCUUAAGAAAAAAAAACCUUGCUCUC